AUUGAACGCUGGCGGCAUGCCUUACACAUGCAAGUCGAACGGCAGCACGGGAGCAAUCCUGGUGGCGAGUGGCGAACGGGUGAGUAAUACAUCGGAACGUGCCCAGUAGUGGGGGAUAACCCGGCGAAAGCCGGACUAAUACCGCAUACGACCUACGGGUGAAAGCAGGGGAUCGCAAGACCUUGCGCUAUUGGAGCGGCCGAUGUCAGAUUAGCUAGUUGGUAGGGAAAAGCCUACCAAGGCGACGAUCUGUAGCUGGUCUGAGAGGACGACCAGCCACACUGGGACUGAGACACGGCCCAGACUCCUACGGGAGGCAGCAGUGGGGAAUUUUGGACAAUGGGCGCAAGCCUGAUCCAGCCAUGCCGCGUGCGGGAAGAAGGCC
rnacentral:rRNA from 1 species